GCUGGGCACGGUGGCACAUGCCUGUAAUUCCAGAGGCUUGGAAGGCUGAGGCAGGAGGAUCGCAAGUUCGAGGCCAGCAUCAGCAAAAGUGAGGCCCUAAGCAACUCAGUGAGACCCCUGUCUCUA
rnacentral:sRNA from 1 species